UUGAGCAUUUUCAGUCGCUGCAGGCGGCUGAACUGGGCGGGCAGCGCCUGCAGCCCGUUGUUGUCUAGCAUGAGGCUCUCGAGGCUGGCCAGCUCGCAGAAGCCACUGGGCAGGGUGCCAAGCUCGGCGCCACUCAGCCAGAGGAUCUUGACGGCGCGCAGGGCACUGAUAUCCUCAGGCAGGCCCCGCAGCCGGUUGCCGGACACGUCCAACUCCUCCAGGGCCGCCAGCUGCAGCAGCUGCCGGGGAAAAGCAGUGAGCCGGUUGUGGUCCACGUCGAGCGUGCGCAGGCGGAAGAGGCAGGAGAGGGAGUCGGGCAGGUGUGCCAGCCGGUUAAAGCUGACAUCCAGCUCCUCCAGGUCAAGCGGGAACACAUAUGCUCCCUACUGAGGAAAAUAAACUGCAAUGUAUUUUUAGCAUCCGUUGGAAGUACUUUCAGCUGAAGAGAUUCUGCAGGAUCCAGACAAUUUCACUGAAGGCCAAAGGAUUGGCCACAAUGUCACCUAGAAGUCUAGAACUUGCCCUGGGGGUCUGAAUCAGGUCACCCUGACCUCAUGGUCCC